GUGCUCGCUACGGCAGCACAUAUACUAAAAUUGGAACAAAACAGAGAAAAUUAGCCUGGCCCCUACGCAAGGAUGACACACAAGACUUCUCUCAAGUUACCUGUUCUG
ensembl:snRNA U6 U6 spliceosomal RNA